AGUGAACGCUGGCGGUAGGCCUAACACAUGCAAGUCGAACGGCAGCACAGUAAGAGCUUGCUCUUACGGGUGGCGAGUGGCGGACGGGUGGGGAAUACAUCGGAAUCUACUUUUUCGUGGGGGAUAACGUAGGGAAACUUACGCUAAUACCGCAUACGACCUACGGGUGAAAGCAGGGGAUCUUCGGACCUUGCGCGAUUGAAUGAGCCGAUGUCGGAUUAGCUAGUUGGCGGGGUAAAGGCCCACCAAGUCGACGAUCCGUAGCUGGUCUGAGAGGAUGGUAAGCCACACUGGAACUGAGACACCGUCAAGACUCCUACGGGAGGCAGCAGUGGGGUAUAUUGGACAAUGGGCGCAAGCCUGAUCCAGCCAUACCGCGUGGGAGAAGAAGGCCUUCGGGUUGUAAAGCCCUUUUGUUGGGAAAGAAAAGCAGCAGGUUAAGACCACGCUGUUCUGACGGUACCCAAAGAAUAAGCACCGGCUAACUUCGUG
rnacentral:rRNA from 1 species